UACGGGGGGGGCAAGCGUUGUUCGGAAUUACUGGGCGUAAAGGGCUCGUAGGCGGCCAACUAAGUCAGACGUGAAAUCCCUCGGCUUAACCGGGGAACUGCGUCUGAUACUGGAUGGCUUGAGAUUGGGAGAGGGAUGCGGAAUUCCAGGUGUAGCGGUGAAAUGCGUAGAUAUCUGGAGGAACACCGGUGGCGAAGGUGACAUCCUGGACCAACACUGACGCUGAGGAGCGAAAGCCAGGGGAGCAAACGGG
rnacentral:rRNA from 1 species